AAAAAAAAAAAGGUUUGAAUCGUAGGCCACAACUAUGUUACUAUUUCUGAGAACGAAUUAGAUUUAUUCGUGAUCUUUUCUUUUUUUUCCUUUCUUUACAAGACGUCUAUGAUUAGCAAAAUCUUCACACAGCGUAAUUUGAUUCGCAAGGAAAUGAUUGUAGAUCAAUCCAUAUUAUUAUUAAUUUCUUUUGUUAUUUUUAAUGAAAGAUCAAUCCAUCUUUGUAGUUUGUCGCUAUAUAGGCUCUCUUUAUCAUCAUUUAUAUUAUUAUCUAUCUAUCUAUCUAUCUAUAGGCGCUCCCACCAUGUCCUACUUCAUAUCAUACAUAUUAUUAUCUCCUUUGGAAAGCAAGCUUAGCUUGGGAGCUUUUACAUGUGCUCAAGUCCUUGCAAUCCUUUGUUAUAUUUGUUUUCUUGGAAGACUUGUUAAUAUGAAUUAUUAUUAUUAUUAUUAUUAUUAUUAUUAUUAUUAUUAUUAUUAUUAUUAUUAUUAGUAUUAUUAUUAUUAUUAUUAUUAUUAUUAUUAUUAUUAUUAUUAAGAUGUGAGGGUUUGAAUCGGUCAAAUUAGAUUGGACUUGUUAAUAUGAAUUAACCUAAUCUGUUCUCUUUUUUGAGUGUUGAUGCUAUAAUGUAUUAGCCUAUUAGGCACUUGAAUUAAUAAAUUAAUUUUACUUUGGAAUAUAUAUAUAUAUAUAUAUAUAUAUAUAUAUAUAUAUAUANNNNNNNNNNNNNNNNNNNNNNNNNNNNNNNNNNNNNNNNNNNNNNNNNNNNNNNNNNNNNNNNNNNNNNNNNNNNNNNNNNNNNNNNNNNNNNNNNNNNNNNNNNNNNNNNNNNNNNNNNNNNNNNNNNNNNNNNNNNNNNNNNNNNNNNNNNNNNNNNNNNNNNNNNNNNNNNNNNNNNNNNNNNNNNNNNNNNNNNNNNNNNNNNNNNNNNNNNNNNNNNNNNNNNNNNNNNNNNNNNNNNNNNNNNNNAAAAACACUUCAUUAUAAUUAAUUUUGAGCAGAGAACAUCUCUUUUCUUAGAAUUUAGGACCCAAAUCUUUUCAAGAAUGUAUGUAUAUAAGUAAAACAAUAAUAAUAUUUAAUUACAAGCAGAGAGAGCAAAUAUUUCUUCUUUUUUUUUAGAAGAAGAAAAAAAAAUAGAAUUAGAGAAUAGUUUUGUUAUAGGAAAAUUAGAAUCGGCGGCGGCGGUGGUGGUGGCAACUCGGACGAUGUUGUCCGCUACCGCCCGCCGACUCGUAGAAGCUGGCCUUCAGGUCCUGCAGCUCCAUGUAGUGGACGGAGGGGUCGCUGCUCCUCAGCCGCUGGAGCAAGUAGAGAAAGAAGUCGAUGCCGCACGCGAUCCGCAGCGCCCCCUCGUAUGCGUAGCCGAACUCCGGCACCGACAGCCGCAGCAGGUCCUCGAAGAGCGGGUGGUUCAAGAAGUUCGCCUCCACCUCGAACCUCUGCACCGCCGCCCCCUCCGUGCCCACGCACACCCAGAUACGGCCUUCCGGCAGCCCGCCCGGGAAGCUCCUGCCGCCACCGCAGACUACCAUCUUCUUCACCAAGCUCGUCAUGCCGAUCCCCAUUCGCUGCACAGUACUGCCGCUUCCUGUUGGACUCGCUAAUGUUGAGGAGGAGGGGAGGGGUGGUGCUUUUAUAUAGGUAGAAGGUCAGGAAUCAUGCAUUACUUUAUUCCGACGCCUGAUCUGAAAACACUGCAUGUUCCAGUAAUCAAUGUAGCAUUGACUCAAGUAGUACAACACGACUGGGGUUGUAUGGAUAUCUCAAGAAUUCCGACGUGUGAAGGCUUCGUCUUCCUGCACACAACGCGGAAGCCACUGGCGGUUCAUUUUGUGCUCACUUGGGAGUCUCCAUGCACGCAUGCAAACAACUGACGCUACGAGAGGAGGUCAACGACUGGAUUGUAUUCUUCUUAGAAUCCGAAGCGUCGAACUGUGAUUUCGAACCCCUGAUGAGGAAGAAGCAUCUCCGACAACUUCAUCGUUUCACUUUGGCUUGUGUGGGACUUCGCGGAAGGGUGUUGCUGUGGGGAACGGAGGAGGAAGCACGUGGGACGGGCGAGAGGUCAAGCCCGCGGCCAGCUAGCUUGGUUGGAUGGAGAACUUAAAAGCGUGUUUCAUGGAGACGGUGAACGUGAGAGAUCCAGCGUAAGAGAAGAAAGAAACGCGAAGGGAGCAGGAAGGUGGGUGGCGUUUAGGUCGGUCGGCGAUGCGGGUGGUUGAUGGAAGCACCGGAAGGGCUUUCUCGUCUCGCAGUUGCAAUGCCAAGCAAGCAAAACCCUGCUUGAGCUGGUGCAAACAUAUAUUAUAUCUUGUCUGAGACAAAACCCAACAUAUAAGCAUUCUAUUUAAGGAGGUUUAUUCGACAUAUAUAGAUAAGCAUUUGGAAGAAACUGAUGGCCACCUGCACAAACUUAGCUGCAUCACAAUAGCAUUGCUCAUCAUCACUAGGUUUUUGACUCCCUCGAGUACUGCUGGCUAACAUGAGCAGAUAAAAUCUCAGUAUCACCAUGGAAAAGUAACCAGUUAUUGACGGAAAGCAAAACAGGAACAGCCUUCGCACACAGCUGCCUUGCAACUUUUUAAGAUCAGAGGCUUUACGAACUCUAAGCAUAAGAUCUUAUUUCAAUUUGUGACCGAUGGGGCAACCAUCACCUUGAAACACAACAUAGAUAUACAUGUAUUGUAAAUUCCACAACAAAGACGAGAGUAGUUAUCAUAUACAUUUGAGUGAAUACAUAAUGAGUGACACCACUUGCACGAUGGACAAUUACAAAUGAUAUAUGAUGAAUUCUGAAUGCAGUCCAGUUACUAUAAAGAAUAACACAUGAUGCUUGCUCGAGCUUUAGCAGCAAGCGUUCAAACAAACAUGUCUUACGGCAGAGCGGUAAUCGACACAACAUUUUAUUUGGGGCAUUGUGGCUGAAGAAUCAACCGGUAUUUCUCACAGCUUACUAAUGGUGGCUUAGGAUGUAGCAGCUUUGUACGAUGGAUUGAAAGGCACCUGUUCAGCACAGUCCACAUUGUCUCCAGAGAAUUGGCGCCCUACUCCCAUCGAGUCCAGGUAAUAUUGGUAAUGAGAUAUGAUAUUGUUCAUGGGAUCAAUGUAGCCCUGGCCGCAAAUAUUGUCUCCAUACAAUAUAUUCAUCGUAAGCCCAAAGCCAGGUAACCUUUUCGACAAAGUGUCAUUCUUUGUGGGCUUCCAGUUUCCAACAAACACAUCAUGGGCCGAAGGCUGCUUCUUCUUCAUCGGGGUCAUCCACCUCCAGAUGGCAGCUUCGAAAGCCAGGGUAGCAUUCUGCUCCAGGUAUUCUGGAUGGCUCAACAGAUCUACCUUUAGAGCAUCACCAACAAGUCCAUAGUUGUAGUUCCUGAAAGGCAAUGAUUAGAUUCGGAAGCUUUCGAUUUAUUUGAAUCCGGCAAUGAGCUUAAUGACCGCGUUCCAUCCUUAAACCAAACACAAACUAGAAGCAUAUCUUUGACAUACCAGUACACAGGCAGAGCACCACGUCCAUAAUAUUGAACUCCAUCGAUACAGGGAUAAAGGUAGUUUGGAUCACAGUAGUCUUGACUUGGGCUCAUUUCAUGGUUAUAGCACAAUCCCCAUGCUAGUGGACCGCCAGUGGCAACACCAUACCCACCUAUAACAAAGAUCAUCGGUAAUGUAUAUACGUAAUAAGAAAAUUAUUAAAGUAGCUAUUGACAGUCGUUCCUAGAUAUCUGAGGUAUCAUCAGCCAGAAUGCAGCCCAGAAUUAGGUACAGUCAAUAACUCUCCACGAUCAGGAUUCCAUAAAGAUUAACAUUUUUUUCAACAGUUCUUUGUACAAGAUGUCUGUCCCUUAACAGGCAUCACUACAUUUAGUCUGGGCAUAGCUGCUAGAAGCUCAAGAGGGAGCAACAGCUGCAGGAAUACCUUCAAUCUUAUUUCUGCAGAAGCCGAAUUCAAAUCCCAUCUAUCAAAGAAAUCUGAUUGUGCAGGGAAAUGGUGAUAUUACACACCUAUUGGAUCACCAAAAUUAGCUUUCCUCAGUCAACUUUUGUUUACAUUUUCAACUAGAAAGUCUUAACUGAGUAAAUAUGUGUCCAUGUUAUUUGGUUCAUUUAUCUCCAAAUGUCUGGUUUAAUUCUUUCUUCGUUCUUGAUUUCUUGUUCAUUGAGACCAGACAUGAUGACGAAUGCAAAAGAGUCCAGUUGGGAUGCAUAUUUUAUUAUAUUAAUUUUUCCAAUUGUUUCAAAUCUACAUGUGGUUUAUUUCACUUAGGGUUGUAGUUGAAAUAUUUAAAGACAUCAGAGAUUGGUUGAGAGAAAUGGCAUUGUUUGAGUUGCCUGAUUAUUAUUUUCAUAUGCUAUUAGUCUCUGCAUUUUUUUUUUGCUGUGCUCAAUUACCCACGACUAUUGUUCUUGAAAACCAAAACCUAUAUGUAUAUAGAUCUAACUAAAGCAGAAGCCAUCGACUAAUAUAUUGCGUCAGAUCUGCAUAAUAGACAGAAUGAAUGCCUAUGAUGUGUGGCUCCCUGAUAUGCACUGCGCAUAAAAGCAAGGUGGAUAGUUAUCUCUUAUUCUAAAGACGAAAUGCCUAACCAAAUAGAGACUCAAAAUCUUUCCCUACUGAAGCAGAAACGUACAGCAUUACAAAAGAUGUUAAAUAUGUUGAUGGACACACAGAUUUGGCCAAGAAACUAAUAUUAUGCAUGACCUGUUCAUAUCGUUCUAUCAUCCGCCAUGUUUUUGGUGUCUCAAAGAUUUGCCUUUGGCAAAGGUUACAACGGCCGAUCCUCUUAUUUCUCCUUUCCCCUUUUAGUUUCGCAUGAUUCCAGAACUAGUCAAUGCACAGACCCACAAUUCCGUAACAAUUUGGUAUCGAAAUCACUCCUAAACCGAUGCAAUUUCUCAUGGAUGCAACUAAUAGAUUCGAUUAGGUGCAGCAAUUAAUUGGGGAGAGAGAUGACUUACAGGAGGUCUUGCUGCCGACGUGGCCGAGGAAGGCGGCGACCUCCUUCAUUUUGGUCUGCUUGUCGCCGGUGGUACCGAAACCAAGCGGCUCAAAGAGGGCGGCGGCGGUAAUGAAGGACUGGAAAUCCCAGAAGCCGACGGCGUGGGCGACGGGGGCGUUGCGCUUGCUGAAGAGGUUCUCGAACUGGUACACCUGGAAGUAGUCGGUGAUGGUCUCGUUGCAGCAGUAGACGCUCCCGCUGCACUCCCACCCCUUGUCGCACGUCUUCUGCUUCGACUUGGACGCAUCCGCCACCGUCACAGCUACUACUAGUAGAAGCAGCAGAGUGGCCGGCCGCGCCAUCAUCUUCCCCAUCCAGCAGAGCGAAGAGAGAGAAUGAGGAGGAGAACGGGGCAGAUCUAAUAUAAUUGGAAGAGGAGGCGAUGUCAGAAUGAGAGAGAAGCACCAACCACUACCCAAUUGAUGAUGCGAGACGAGAGAGAGGAGAAGAAGAAGGGCGAUGGUGGUAAUGGUUAUGGCGGACCAAAGGGAGGGAGCGAAUGAGAGGCAAAUAAUGGACUCGAAAUAAGAAUUGACCGCUACGGCAAGUGUGUCGGUGCGGUGCGGGGGAUUUGGGGCAGGCCAGCUCGUAACGUAGCUUCUAGAGCUCGUGGCAGUCAAUUUUGCUUGACCUAACAUUUACUAAUUAUGAGUAUUAUAACGACGUAAAAAUAACUAUCUGAUAACUUAAUAUUAUAUCAUCAAUAAUCCUUAGAUCAGAAAGAUGAUGGCUUCAAUCCUAUGAUACAAUUACACCACUAAAAUCAUUGAUUCAAAAAUUCAUUUGAGUUUUGAAAAGAUUUUAUCGGAUAUGUUCCGAUAUAAUUUCGUAGAAUUUGAUGUACUUUGAAUUUUAUUCAAUAUCUUCAUACAUCGAAAUAGACGUAGAAUACGAACUUAGUUGAAUCCGACCCGAUAUGUUAAUCGAACAAUUAGAAUAUGCUUUAAUAAUUAAAAUAAUAAAAUUAAUUUAAUUAGAUUUUAUUUAAAUAAAAAAGUAUUAUCUUAUGCAUACCUAAACUAUGUGAUACGUGAUUUACCACCAUAUCCAAAAUUGAUAUACUAAUUAUGUACUAGAUUUAUUUAUUAAAAAUUGAUGGUUAUCUCAUCGAAAAAAUUUACAACGAAAAUAUUGAUCAAUAUUAAAAAUCCAGAAUUUAAAAUAUCAACAAAUGAUAUUUUAAUUGUUAAUAGUGAGGCUCCGAUUAAAUCUCAUCUUCACCAUUUAUAUUUUUUUGAAAUAAAAAUAAAAAAAACAAUCAUUAGCUUAACUAUUGACAAAAAAAUAAAAAUAAAAAUAAAAUCUAAAAUUUUCAAGAAUCACAUCCCAAACCAAAUGAAUGCUAAUGCGUCAAAUCACAUCUGCUCUCUCUUUAUUUCCUAUUUGUGCCGUGAAUCGCUCCGGUGCUGCUGUCACGAUGGGAUUGGUUGCAAUCGAAUGCUUGCGAUGGGACGAGAGCGACUUGUGAACCGCUUUCUUUCGUUGCCCCGAUGCGAAGCAACAAUCGAGCCCACACAAUCGAUAUCGUCAUCCGGCUUCAUUACUGCGGAUUACGCCACGUAGAACCAAAAGGUGCUUAAGUGUAAAAGAUGUGAGAUAAAUAUGCUAGGCUUUAAUUUACAUAUUAUUUUUAUCUUUUUAAUAUUUUAAAUUUAUAUUGAGAUCUAAAUUUAUUUAAUCUAACAUUAUCGAUUUUAUCGACGAAAAUAAAAAAAAUAAUUUUAAUAUUUUAAUUAAUGAUAAUAAGAUGCAGCGGAUGAUUACUGUAUCUGCAUCAACAUGGAUGCAGUUAUCAAAUCAAAUUAAUUUUUACCAAAUAUGGCAGCGAUCGAUGAAAGGAGAAAGAAAGAAGGUGCCCACCUAAAUCAAAUUUUCACUGAACUGAUCCAAACCGAUUCAAUGAACCGGGUCCAGAGAAUAUCGAGUGGCAAUACACGACGGACGGUCCACACGCAUCCAUCAUAGUCGUACCAAACAUCGUAGCCAUCCCAUCGCCACGUGUGUCUUCGUGGUUGGCCUCUCAUUCCUCGUGUCUGGUGCGGUCCAUCUGGACCACUGGUUGCUGCCAACCUUUUUAUUUUUCCGUUCGCCGACUCCGUCAACAACGGCUUCCCAACUCUUAAACCACAUGCUGCUACACACAAAAAGAAGAAGACGCCGUGACAGCGUCAACAAGCGCAGUAGUAAGAGAAGUAAAUAGGACCCCGUAACUUAAUACUGCAUCACAACUUUUAAGAGUGGGUCAAUGAUGGGCAUAAAAUAGUACAAGUCUCGAUGAGGCAAUUAAAAUGAAAAAGGACGGUAAAUGUUUGUGUAAACUUGACCCGGCAACAACGAAGUGAAGCAAAAGGAAAACAUAAAGAGUCACUGCGUCGGACACAGAUCUGAAUCCUCUUCCUCGGAUCAUCAUCAUCACUUGAUCCUGCGGCAGAGGGUGACGCCGUCGCCGACGGGGAGCUGGCAGAUCUCGAUGCGGGGGUCCGCCGCCAGCGCGUUGUUGAGCUCCAGCACGAAGUCCCGGUAGUAGCGGAUGUACUUGCGCAUGGGGGCGUCCGGCGGCGCCACCACCGACCCGCUCCACAGCGUGUUGUCGUAGGCGAUGACGCCGCCCACCCUCACCAGCUCCAGCAGUCGCUUGUGGUAGUUGAUGUAGUUGUCCUUGUCCGCGUCCACGAAGACGAAGUCGAACGACCCAUGGUUCUUCUCCUGCGGUUCCCAGGAUCCCAUUUCAUAACUCGUCGAUCGACCUACAAACGAAUGGCGGAAAGAUAGAUCUGGAUCGAGGACGUCGACUUACAUCUUCAAUCAUUUGAUCGAGGACAGGGAGGGCGGGGCCUUCGCGGAAGUCGAUCUUGUGGGCGACGCCCGCCUUCUGGAUCACGGGGAGGCCGAUCUCGUAGUUCUCCCGGUUGAUGUCCAUGGCCAGGAUCUUGCCGUCGUCGGGGAGCGCGAGGGCGGUGGCGAGGAGGGAGUA
rnacentral:lncRNA from 1 species